rnacentral:lncRNA from 10 species
CUGUGGAAUGUGUUAUUACCGUCUCUCACCCAGACCAUUGUAAUAACCUCCUAAAUAAUCUCCGCUCCUUUCUCUCCCUUUGGAGAGGAAACAAUAUUAUUAUUUUGUAUUAUUAUUCAAAAUCUUUGUAUGUCUUUGUUAGGGUUUCCCUCCUCCCUGUGGGAGAAUUGUGCUCUUGUCUUUUGAUGUCGGACUUGACCCCAUGAUUUCCUCUGGUCAAUGAAAUGUAAUUAGAAGUAACUCAGGGCACUUGUGAGCAGAAGGUUUAAGAGGCAGCACCUGGUUCACUCUGUCUUUUUCCCUUCGCUAUGAGACUGGCAAGGUUCCAGAUAGCAACUGUUCUAGCAGCCAGGGUCCUGGAGAGAAGUCAACAUGAAGCAGAGCCACAGAUACGCCACAGAUAAGCUUAUGUAAUGAAGAGCUUCUCGCUUGUUGCCCAGGCUGGAGUGCAAUGGUGCGAUCUCAGCUUACUAAAUCUUCCGCCUGACAUGUUCAAGCAAUUCUCCUGCCUCAGCCUCCCAAGUAGCUGGAAUUACAGGUGCCCACCACCAUGUCCAGCUAAUUUUUUUUUUUUUUUUUUUUUUGUAUUUUUAGUAGAGACGGGUUUUCACCAUGUUGGCCAGCCCGGUCUUGAACUCCGUCAGCCUCCCAAAGUGCUAGGAUUAACAGGCGUGAGCCGGCACGCCCGGCCUCCCCGCUGAAUCCUUUCUUCAUUUUAUCAUAAUCCUUCUAAAUACACUUUCGGGAACUUUAAAAGAUGCCUACCACCAUUUGUCUCUCAUGAAGAUGUGAACUGCGACUGGAAACAGCUCAGUCUCUCACAGAUUGUAAAACUCAGAAGUAUAAUAUCCUUGGCACUAAGGGAAAGCACAAUGACACAGAAGGAAAUAUAGAAGUCCCCAAAUUAGGAAUCUUGGAUUUUAGACCCAGUGUUCCCUUAACUGCUUAAAGUGUGACCUCAAAUAGGAUCUCGCUGAUGCCCUGGAUACUGCCACAAGGGAUUCGCGUGGGCUGGAGUGCAGUAGCACCAUCACAGCUCACUGCAGCUGCAGGAUCACAGUUCAUUGCCCCUUCAACUUCCUGGCCUCAAGCCAUCCUUCUGCCUUGGCCUCCUGAGUAGCUUGGACUACUGGUGCUAGCCACCAUGCCCAGGAGGAUGAAAUUUAACCACAUCAAAGAAACCUACAGCUCUGAUACUCUCAGAAAAAAUAAGACUCAACACAAAGAGAGUAAAAAGAGUUAUUCUGUCAACGAAGGGUCUUGACCGAAUAAUGUAUACAUCAGAUCUUUUCAUCUUGCACUUCUUGGACACUGUGAUUCAAAAGGGAGAUUAUUUGUGUCAGUAAAGAAGUAUCCAUAAUGAUAAAACACAAGUACUUCAAAGAACAACCUGUGCUUCUCAAAAGGAAAAUAGUUUGGAUCCAUUUACUUUUCUCCUCUACUUCACAUUCUAAAUGACUGAGAAAAUGUCUUCUCGUUUUCAAUACAACCCAUGGGAAAUCAUACUCAAAUAAGUAGUAACUGAAUGAACUAAUCUGGAAAAGUGGUCCUCAAUUUGUUUCUGUAAUAUCAGCUAUCACAAUACUGCCUUGAUAUUUCAUACAAUUCUGCAGAGUAUAAAAAAGCAAAAGCCUCUAAAAGUUGGUACUAGAAUGUACUACACGCUCAAUAUAGACCACAAAAUGGAUCAGACAUGAAGCUUAGUAUUGUCUGUGUGCACAGUGUUUAAAUAUUCCCUUGUUUUAAAAGUGCCAGUGUUUGUUAAGUAACUUAAAAUAUUUGCCACAUGUAGCUUAUUUUUUUUACUUUUUAUUAUAUUUUUGUCAUAGGUAAAAAAGUGAAAAGAUUUAUGACAGUCAUUUUUUUAAAACUAAGUUAAGCUAUAUAAAUUGUUGUGAAAUAAAAUACAUUUUAAUUAUAUACAAUAAAGAUCCUAAUUUUAAUUUGCAAGUAUUUUCAAGAUUACAAGUAACGUUAUCAAUUGUUUUACUUAUAACAAUAUUCCUAGGGUGUCUACAUUUAAUAAUUCUAAGUUUUUAAAACAAUUUUAAACUAUUUCAUUUAACAGACAAUACAAACUAACUAAGAUAAAUUGAGAAAUAUAAAUAUCCCUCACCUGUGUUUUUAAAAUUAGAGACAACUUUUGUAUCAUUCCAGAUAUAAUUUAUACCUAUAUAAAUGUGUUUAUUUUAAAUGUGCCAUUUAAAAGAACUGGUUUAUGCUUUGAAAUGGCUGCAUAAUAUUCUACUCUACCUAGAUACCAUUAAAUAUUGAAUCAGCUCUCUAUUGUGUGUUUUUUGCUGUUGUUACUGACAGAUUUUGUAAUUACAAUGCAGAUUAAAAACUUGUUUUAAAAAAUGUGAUUUUGCUCAUAGACAUAUGUCUUUAGAAUACAUUCGUCAUAGUACAAUUGCUGAGACAAAGAGUUUACGCAUUUGGAAAUUUUAUAAAUAUUAUCACAUUGCUUUCUAUCAAUAUCAUCUCACAAGUAUAAUGACAAGUGAAAGAUACUAGGUAUGAACAUUUAUGUAGUAUUCAAAAGCAGAUAAGUUUAUUACCCUGUCAGAAGAUAGCAAAAUGAUUAACUUUAUGAAGGUUUCAAGCACUUAGUUUGAGGGAAGGCAGGAUAGGCAGUUUCAUGAGAAAGGUAUGUCCCAUCUCUUGAUCAGGGUGAAGUUUAAAUGGAGUUGUUUCCUUGAUGAUGCAUCAAAGUCACCACUUGAAAUUUGAUUACUUUUUAAUAUAUGCUAUACUUCAAAAUGUUUAUUAACAUGCAAAUCAUAUAAUGAAUUCCAUUAAUUUAGUGAGAGAAAUUUUUUUUAUAUGCUUCGAAGUCAUUUGUUUUGUUGUUUGCGUUUACUCAGAACAGUGUGUCAAUCUCCUUGACUGAUAUUUCUAUUGUUUCUAGCAGGUCAUUUAAUAGUUUAUAAUGUUUAUAUUUUCAAAGUUUAUUGGGGUGUAAUUUAUUUAUAAUACUGUACAUAUUUAAAGUUCAAAAUAAGUUAAGCCUUAACAUGUAUAUACAGCCAUGAACACAUAACCAUAAAGUAGGUCCUAAAUAUAUUCACCACUCACAAAUGUUUCCUUGUGAACCUUUGUCAUUCCACCCGCCCUUACUUCUUCCGCAUAAUCUCCAUCUAUAGCAACUACCAAUCUAUUUUCUGUUAUUAUAAAUUAAUGUGCAUUUUCUGGAAUUUUAUAUAAAUGGAAUCAUAUCAUAUGUACUUUGUUUUGUCUUGUUUUUUCAGUAAAAUUAUUUUGAGAUUCAUACAUGUUGUUACAUGUAUCAAUAGUUCAUUACUUUUUAUUGUUGAGUAGUAUUUCAUCAUAUGGAUAUGCCACAAUGUGUUCACACCUUAACAUAAAUUUGUCAAUGUAGUUUCCAGUCAUUGGUUAUUAAAUAUAAAGUUUCUUGAAAACUGAUCUAUAAGUAUUGAUAUGGAAUGUGAUUUCUUUUCUCUUGGGUAAAUUCCUGGAAGAAAAUUGGUUCUAUCAAAUGGUGUUUGCAUGUUUAACAGUUAUAGCCAAACCAUUUUCCAAAGUGGUUGUAAUAUUUUACAUUCCUCACAGCAGUGUAUGAGAAAUCAAAUUGUUCCAAAAGUUUGCUAAGACUUGUACAUUUAGAUGUAUCACCAAUUUUGGGUAAAUUUUUGUACUAAUUGUGAGUUGCAAUUGAGGUUCACUUUUUUAUAUGGAUACUCCUUUUUUUACACAAUACAUGUUGAAAGCAUCACCUUGUAUUAAUUGAACUGCCUUUGCAUCUUAUUAAAAUCAGUUUCAAUAUAUGUGAGGUUCUAUUUCUGAACUCUAUUCUCUGUUACAUUGAUUUAUGUGAACACUUUUUCACUGAAGCCACACUAUUUUGAGAACUGUAGUCUUGAAAUUGAGUAUUGGUAAUCCUCUAAAUGUGUUUGUUUUUAUAAAAAUUGUUUUGGCUAUUUAGAUCACUUUGCCAUUCAAAUAAAAUUUAAAAUCUGCUUGUUGAUAGCUACAGAAAAGUUACUGGCAUUUUAACUAGGAAUACAUUAAACUUAUAGAUAAGAUUGAGGAGAAUUGCCAUUUUAUUCUUCCAAUUAAUGGCUAUAUUACAUG